rnacentral:rRNA from 1 species
GAGGAAUAUUGGUCAAUGGGCGAGUGCCUGAACCAGCCAAGUAGCGUGCAGGAAGACGGCCCUAUGGGUUGUAAACUGCUUUUGUAUGGGGAUAAAGUCAGUCACGUGUGAUUGUUUGCAGGUACCAUACGAAUAAGGACCGGCUAAUUCCGUGCCAGCAGCCGCGGUAAUACGGAAGGUCCGGGCGUUAUCCGGAUUUAUUGGGUUUAAAGGGAGCGUAGGCUGGAGAUUAAGUGUGUUGUGAAAUGUAGACGCUCAACGUCUGACUUGCAGCGCAUACUGUUUUCCUUGAGUACGCACAACGUUGGCGGAAUUCGUCGUGUAGCGGUGAAAUGCUUAGAUAUGACGAAGAACUCCGAUUGCGAAGGCAGCUGACGGGAGCGCAACUGACGCUGAAGCUCGAAGGUGCGGGUAUCGAACAGGAUUAGAUACCCUGGUAGUCCGCACAGUAAACGAUGGAUGCCCGCUGUUGGUACUUGGUAUCAGCGGCUAAGCGAAAGCAUUAAGCAUCCCACCUGGGGAGUACGCCGGCAACGGUG